GAACAAAGGCCCACUUGGAACUAAAGUUAUUUCCCAUUCCUUCUUGCAGCGAGCUGUGGCCAUGAGGCUAAAUUCUGACCAAUGGGCUACCAGAUCUAAGGGCUGGAGCACUAGCAAUGACAUGAGGGAACCUCGGGACAAGCAGCAAGAUACAAGGACCAGGUCUACGACGCUUCCAAGCACCAUUCCAGCCCGGCUUGGGCAUCUCAAGCCUCUUGAAUGAAACCUCGUGUGGGGGAGCCUCAUCUUACAUAAUAGCAUGCUGUGCUGCUUCUAAUUUUUCACAACUCCUUCUCAGAGAAGAUGGAGGCUCAGAGGUCAAGAACUUGCCCAGGGUUGCAGCAGCUUCAAGAGAAUGUCAGGAGGAUAAAGCAAGCUCAGAGUUGUGGGAGAGCUUUGAAGAGGAAAGCACACGUACAAACAAGGUGUGCUCCUGGCAUGAACCCGCCAUUUCAUGACCAUAAACCAGACAUCCGAGAAAGCAGUGUUUUCUCAAAAGGUUUAAAAUGCCUGUCUGACGUCAUCAGGAAGCACUUGCCACCGGACCAUGAAAUGAAAAACCUGAUCACAGCUUCCCCUCAACAACCUCAAGUUUAGUGAAGUGACAGUUGAGCUGAUAUUUCUUGCUUCGGUAAGAAAGAUGAGGGGCAGACAACACUCAAAGCCACAGCCGGCUGUCCGAGACUGGAGUCAGAACUUGACAAUGAGGUGGAAGAGUACAGAUUUGGCAGCAGAGGUCUGGUUAGCAAUAAAGCUUCCUCGGGGAGCUGGAAUUGAAUUUGGGCCCUGCCCAAGUUAACAUUUUUUACAGGUUGGCCAGAGUUGCAGUUUGUUAGCUCGUCAGUAAUAAACCCAUG